UUUUUUUUUUUUUUGCCAAUAUGUACCAUAGGCUUCAGCCAGCUAACUUACUACUGAUGUGAUUCUGUAUGGCUCAGGAGUAGAAGGCUAUAAUUGGUGGGAUGGAAGGCAUAUGCUAAAAGUCACGCAGAAGAGCGUUUGUAGCCGAUUUCUGCCAUUUACAACUAUGGAACUAGAGAUAAGUCACUUGGCUUACCCAAGUCCCUCAUUCUUUAUCCAUAAGAUUAAAAUAGAAAGAGUAAAAGAGAUAACAAGUAUAAAGGUUGACUUAUGAUAGUAAAUUAAUAAACAUUCAUUCCUUUCCUGCAACAGUUCCAGUAUCUUUUGCUCUAAUACCAUCAGUGUUGGGAAGGUUCAUUCCACUGUUAGAUAACUGAUUUUACAAAAUUUUAAAAAUUGCACAUAUAGUCAAAAUCCUUCUUAAGGCAUGAACAGGCAAUUCACAAAGGAAGAAAUACUAACUGCAAAUAAACAUAUGGAAAAUGUCUCAAUGCUAACUCAUAAAAAAAAAUACACAUUGGCCAAGAGUUUUAAAAAUAAUAUUAUGUAAUAUCAUUGGUUAUUGAGAAAUAGGCACCCUGACAUACCCUGAUGGUCAACCUACUUUUAUCAUUCUUCUAGAGAGACAGAAAAUACGAAUCAAUGCCUUAAAAAUGUAUAUUCCCUUCCAUCCACCAUUUACACUUCUAAGAAAUUUCCAGAGAAAAUAAUAAAUGGAUGCUCUUGACAGCAUUGUAAUGAAAAACUGUAAGCAACAAAAGUCCCACCAUUCACAUAAACUAUAAUAUCACCAUAAAAUGUAAAAUACAGUCAUUAAAAUGCUUAUACUAGAAAGACAUUUGCAAUGCAUAGGAGAAUUCAAAAUCUAAUUUCUUUAUUUUACAGAGAGCUUAUAAAAAUUAUUAAAAAUAAAACUAUCCAAUAAAACCACGAAGACAGUUCACAAAAAAAGAAAUACAAAUGCCCAAUAAAGAUACAUUGUAUAACCUUAUUAUUAAAUAAAUUACAAAUUACAUUGAAAUACUAUUUUUCACCAAUUAAAAAUUGUAGCAUCUGUGAUACCCAGGACUAGAAAGGUACAGUGACACAGGCAAUUUCAUACCCUUGUGGUAGGAGUAUAUGUGGACAUUACUAAUGUUUACCAAUACCAAGGCUUUCUCCAUCUCUGACCCCCUUGAAGCUGGGAAUAUGUAGUUAGCAGUAGCCAAGUUCCAAAAGGGUCCAAAUCACAGAUUUCACUUACUACAUGACACAAGAACUAUUUAACCUCAUUAUGUCUUAAUGUCUUCAAAGGUAAAACAGGGAUAAUAACAAUAAUCUACCUCAUAGGGAUAUUUUGAGAAUUCAAGCAUAGUGCAUGGCACGCAGUAUUACUAAUAAUAAUAUAAAUCACAGAUCGUACUAUGUAGCAGGCACUGUUCUAUGCAUUUAUCCAUAGUAGCUGAUUUUAUCACUCAAUAAACAGUACCAUUAGUAUGACAAUAUUGCCGCAUUGCUUGUAAUUGCAAAUAUCUGAAAACAAUCAAAUUGUCCAUCAAUAGUUAAGGGGACAGUUAAACCAAAGUAUACAAAGGACGUAUAUGUGGCUGUUAUAGAGAAUGAGGUAGUUCUGUACAUGCUGAUAGAGAAAGAUUUUUUAAAAAAUAGAGAAAGACUAUUGUUUGACUUUGUUUUUAAAGUCUAACGGUAUGAGUGUGGUUAAGAAAUGGUGGGUGGAUCAUCUGAGGUCAGGAGUUGGAGACCAGGCUGGCCAACAUGGUGAAACCCCAUUUCUACUAAAAAUACAAAAAUUAGCCAGGUGUGCUGGUACAUGCCUGUAAUCCCAGCUACUUGGGAGGCUGAGGCAGGAGAAUCGCUUGAACACAGAAGGCGGAGGUUGCAGUGAGCUGAGACUGCACCACUGCACUCUAGCCUGGGCAACAGAACAACACCCUAUCUCAAAAAAAAAAAAAAAAAAAAAUUGGGUUCUUGAGCCAGACUAUCUGAGCUCAUUUCCUACUAGCUGUAUGGCUUUGGGAAUUAAACACUUAGCCUCAGUAUCCUCAUCUGUAAAACAGGAUUAAUAAUAGCAACUACUUCUGAUGGCUUUUGUGGGGAUUAAAGGAGCUAACAGAUAAAACAGUCCCCCUGGCAUAUAGUCAGCAGCCAACUAAUGUUAUUUGCUUUAUUACUAAUCAUUUUAACAUGUCACAUGGACUGAGAGAUAAUGGGCCUUUUUAUUUUCUUUAUGCUUAUCUGUAUUUAAAAAGAUAGAGAGAUUUGUCUUUUGAAAAUACAAAAUUGUAUUCUGAUAUGAGAGAUGUAUAGAACAUGUCAUAUGAGAAAUGUUAGUAAAAAACAGUAUAUACAGCCCAAAGUCAUUUUUAUUAAAAUAUAUUUAAUGUUAUGUAAAUAAGUGUACAUUAAAAAUUUAGACAUGCACUAAAAUAUUACCAGUGGUCUCUCUGGGAGAUGGAUUAUAAAUUAUUUAUAUUUUCUUCUUUUUACUUAUCCCUAUUUUCUGAUUUUCCUAAAAUCAACACACAUUACUUAUGCAAUAAGAUUUUAACUGUCGUAAUUUAUUUCCAAGCAUAGAAGUCACAAAGGAAGAGGUUAAACUGAGAGGCUUCCAAUGAUGUAACCAGAGAUGGACUUUUGAGCAAAAACAAGUGAACAAUACAUGAUUUACUGAGAACCCAUACGUUCGAUAUCAUGACGCUAGCAAGGAAAACAGCAAUUGAUCAUCAGUACCUAAGACUGCCAUUCUCCAUUGGGCCAGGCUCCCACCUGACUUUAGGGAGGAAUUUGAAAGCCAGAAUCUCGCCCCAGGUAAAUGCAAUAGGAGCCAAAGCAGGUAACACAGCUCAGAGCUGAAGUUUGCUGAAAAGGCCAGAGGGCACUGCCUGCAAGGCUAAAAGCAACACUGCACGUCCACACGCUGGGUUUCAACACUUUUUUCACAGCAGCAAAUCCAUAACGGACUCUGAGUGAACUGGGAAAGAAUAACUAAAACAUUCAAAAUACUUCCAGAAAAUCAUUUUGCAUGAUGACUUCUCUUACUAUGUCCAGCUCUGAGUAAGCAAGGAAGGUCACAGGAUUUUGUUCAGAUUUGGAAGUAGAAAGGGAAACGUGAGGUUAUACUCAGGAAAUCCUUUUGCUAAGAUUCAAAAAAUCUGAAAAUUAACAAAUUCUAAAACAUGCACCUUUCAAUUUGCCCCUCCUCUCCUUAACAUCUCUCCAUAACCUGAGAUGGCUACAUCUAUGGUUGGACUGGACUAGAGGCAAUAAACACAGACACAGUAACCUCAACAUGGGGUUUACAGCGCAGGAAUGAGGAGGAGCCAGUGGCAGGUAUAGAAUGUUCCCACACCUCAACCACUGCCAGGCUCCGCAGCUCACUGAUGCAGCAGACACUGCUUCAGAGCACUGCUUUAUUGGUACCACUUCUGAGAAGCAGCAAAGCAGACAUACGUCUUUCUCUAUCAUCUUCUCUGUCUCUCAAUCCCUCUCAAUGACAAUGACUCAUUCUCUCUUUCAACCUCUCUCCCUUCCUCUCUCCUACCCUCUACCCUCAUUCCCACCCCCUUAUCACUACACUAAGGCCAGCAAGAAGCCACAACCACAGAAGAGCUUCCAGGCAGCAGUGAAGCAGUUCAGUCUCAAAGAAAGCCAGACAGGAGUCCAGAUGCCUGUGUUCCUUCUGGAGUUCGCUAUAUGACCUCACUAUAAUCCCUUUACCACUGUGGGCUUAUUUUCUCAUCUGGAGGACGAAUGGGCUUCCAAAAUGUCUGUUGCCAAGAAGUAUAUCCAACUAGACCCUCGGCCCAUGUUUUAAUUUUUAUACACUGUAAUUAAAAGCAGAAUGACUUGCUUUCA